rnacentral:rRNA from 1 species
UACGUAGGGUGCGAGCGUUAAUCGGAAUUACUGGGCGUAAAGCGUGCGCAGGCGGUUGGUCAAGUCAGAUGUGAAAGCCCCGGGCUCAACCCGGGAACUGCGUUUGAAACUGGCCGGCUAGAGUUUGGCAGAGGGGGGUAGAAUUCCACGUGUAGCAGUGAAAUGCGUAGAGAUGUGGAGGAAUACCGAUGGCGAAGGCAGCCCCCUGGGUCAAAACUGACGCUCAUGCACGAAAGCGUGGGGAGCAAACAGG